AAGAAAACAAAGAUGUUCAUCAAGAUUUUAACCACAAUAUCCUUGUCACGCUUUGCUUUCCUAAUACUUCCUAAAGGAUCUGAUGCACUUGAUUGUUCUGUCGCUGAAAUACGCAAUUGUGAAAAAGGAAGCUAUCCGAAAUAUUUUCCUCAACUUGGUUUGAAACCAUAUAUUUGCAGUGGAACCGCAAAGCAUAUGGAGUGUAUAAACCGCGUCACUGAUUAUUGCAAAACAAAGCCCC